rnacentral:rRNA from 1 species
UACGAAGGGGGGCUAGCGUUGCUCGGAAUCACUGGGCGUAAAGGGUGCGUAGGCGGGUCUUUAAGUCAGGGGUGAAAUCCUGGAGCUCAACUCCAGAACUGCCUUUGAUACUGAAGAUCUUGAGUUCGGGAGAGGUGAGUGGAACUGCGAGUGUAGAGGUGAAAUUCGUAGAUAUUCGCAAGAACACCAGUGGCGAAGGCGGCUCACUGGCCCGAUACUGACGCUGAGGCACGAAAGCGUGGGGAGCGAACAGG